UCCCCAAUGUCCCCAAAUGUCCCCAGUGUCACCUUGAGGUGUGUCACCCGUGUGAACACCAGGUUGGUGAUGGCCUCGGCCAGCGCCCAAUGUCCCCAAUGUCCCCAAUGUCCCCAAUGACCCCAAUGUCCCCAGUGUCCCCAGUGUCCCCAAUAUGUCCCCAGUGUCCCCAGUGUCACCUUGAGGUGUGUCACCCUGGCGAACACCAGGUUGGUGAUGGCCUCGGCCAGCGCCCAAUGUCCCCAGUGUCCCCAAUGUCCCCAGUGUCCCCAAUGUCCCCAAUGUCCCCAGUGUCCCCAAUGUCCCCAAUGUCCCCAAUGUCCCCAAUGUCCCCAAUUGUCCCCAGUGUCCCCAGUGUCACCUUGAGGUGUGUCACCCGUGCGAACACCAGGUUGGUGAUGGCCUCGGCCAGCGCCCAAUGUCCCCAAUGUCCCCAAUGUCCCCAAUGUCCCCAGUGUCCCCAGUGUCCCCAGUGUCCCCAGU